CUGGCAAUCACUGCUAAAGCUACGGUAAUACUGGGAGAGUAUCUGACACACACACACACACACACACACACACACACACACACACACACACACACACACACACACACACACACACACACACACACACACACACACACACACACACACACACA